UGUGAUGUCUAAAUCUUUUGAAUUUUAGGCCAUAAUCCUGUCACCUUAGGUCGAUCGGUACCUCAAUUUAAUAUCACAAAAACUGAGUAAUUAGUUUUUCAUUGAUUUUGAAUUCAGUUCCUAAACUUUGUCUAGGUCACACCCAACAAGGGUACUCCUGGGCCAUUAGCUCAGGUGGUUAGAGCGCACCCCUGAUAAGGGUGAGGUCCCUGGUUCAAGUCCAGGAUGGCCCAUUCGAUAUUGGGGGUAUAGCUCAGUUGGUAGAGCGCCUGCUUUGCAAGCAGGAUGUCAGCGGUUCGAGUCCGCUUACCUCCACUGAUCGACCUCCUUGAAUAGUUUUACGUUGAAGGAGAUUAUUGUUGGCGUGACCUAGAGUUUGUUAAUCAUCAAUGAACCUAGCUUCUUGUUAUUAGUUACUUUAAAUUUGGAUUUUAGUAAUUGCUGAUAAGACGCUGGGCUCGCUGCAAAAAAGUUUUGCAGAGAUGUUCAGCAGAACCUUGACAACUGCAUAGGAAAGUCUGGAAAGAAUAAAGCAUCUCAUGGAUGUAUUAUUCUUUAAUAAGUCAAAAUAGAUUUCUGUUUAAACAGUUUAUCUAAAUUUGGCUUGAAAGAAUAAUGUUUAAUUCUUUGAGUUAAGAGCUAAAAAUCUAUAAGG
rnacentral:tRNA from 1 species